rnacentral:rRNA from 1 species
CAGCCGCCGCGGUAAUACGUAGGGUGCGAGCGUUAAUCGGAAUUACUGGGCGUAAAGCGGGCGCAGACGGUUACUUAAGCAGGAUGUGAAAUCCCCGGGCUCAACCUGGGAACUGCGUUCGGAACUGGGUGACUAGAGUGUGUCAGAGGGAGGUAGAAUUCCACGUGUAGCAGUGAAAUGCGUAGAGAUGUGGAGGAAUACCGAUGGCGAAGGCAGCCUCCUGGGAUAACACUGACGUUCAUGCCCGAAAGCGUGGGUAGCAAACAGGAUUAGAUACCCGUGUAGUCCCUGUCUCUUAUAC